rnacentral:rRNA from 1 species
UACGGGGGGGCAAGCGUUGUUCGGAAUUACUGGGCGUAAAGAGCGCGCAGGCGGUCGAUCAAGUCGAGUGUGAAAGCCCCCGGCUCAACUGGGGAGGGUCAUUCGAUACUGAUCGACUCGAAGGCAGGAGAGGGUAGUGGAAUUCCCGGUGUAGUGGUGAAAUGCGUAGAUAUCGGGAAGGAACACCAGUGGCGAAGGCGACUACCUGGCCUGUUCUUGACGCUGAGGCGCGAAAGCUAGGGAGCAAACGGG